rnacentral:rRNA from 1 species
AACGAACGCUGGCGGCAUGCCUAACACAUGCAAGUCGAACGAGAUCUUCGGAUCUAGUGGCGCACGGGUGCGUAACGCGUGGGAAUCUGCCCUUUGCUUCGGAAUAACAGUUAGAAAUGACUGCUAAUACCGGAUGAUGUCUUCGGACCAAAGAUUUAUCGGCAAAGGAUGAGCCCGCGUAGGAUUAGGUAGUUGGUGGGGUAAAGGCCUACCAAGCCGACGAUCCUUAGCUGGUCUGAGAGGAUGAUCAGCCACACUGGGACUGAGACACGGCCCAGACUCCUACGGGAGGCAGCAGUGGGGAAUAUUGGACAAUGGGCGAAAGCCUGAUCCAGCAAUGCCGCGUGAGUGAUGAAGG